AAUAAUCGUACAGAUUCGCGACGAGGAAUCCAGACUGAAACAGGCGCUGGGUUUAAAGAACAUAAUUUUCAACCCUUACGGUCCUGGCCUGGCCCCGAUUGCCAAGCUGCUGGACACCCCUGAGGAGCUGAAGCGUUUUGAGCCCAAGGGCUGCACCAUGAAGGUCCGGCCGGAGGAGAACGAGGCUCGGCAGAACAGAGACAAAGAACGGCGGCGCAGGGACAGGCCGGAGAGGGUCGACAGAAUGGACCGCCCCAGGGCAAAGGAGAGGGACAGACGCACGGACGCACAGGCCACGCAGGUCCGCUCCAUCCACCCACCCGUGCACAGAAAUGCUGGUAUCUCCACGUUGACAACUGGCCAGAGGAAGUAAGGACAGUACCUUGUGUCCCUGCCUCUGCUACCCCACCCCCUGCCCCGCCCCCUGCCCCAGCCCCCCGCACACAAGUCGGCCAAGUCCAAGUGGGACUCUGACACAGAAGAGCAAGUGGACGGACAGAAGUGAGGGGAGAGAGAGAGGAGGAAGAGAAGGAGGAGAGGAAGGAAAAUAAAAAUAUAAUCAAGAAUUUGGAGGAAGAGGAAGACCAGGAGGUACAGGUGAAGGAAGAGGAGGAAGAGGAAUAGACUAUCCCAGAGAAGAUGAAGGAAGAGGAGGAAGAGGAGGAGGAGGAGGAGGAGGAGGAGGAAGAGAAGGAAGAGUGAGGCAAAGGUCUUCCCCGAUUGUUUGACCGAAGAAUACGAAGCUUUCCUUAUGAUGGUGGAUGGAGGAGGAGGAGGAGGAGGAGGAGGAGGAGGAGAGGAGAAAGAGGAGGAAGAGGAAGAGGAGGAGGAGGAAGGAAGAUGCAAGAGAGAGGUCACAUCACUAUAUAAAGAAGAGGAGGAAGACUACAUGAAAAUUGAAGAAGAGGAGGAGGAAAGAAGAAGAAAGAGGAUGAGAGAGGAGGAGGAGGAAGAGGAAGAGGAGAAGAAAGAACAGAAGACCCUGGAGAAGAUGAAGAAGAAGAGGAAGAAGCAAAUGAAGGAGAAGAGGAGGCAGAAGAAACUGGAAAAGAAGGCAAAGAAGAAGAGGAAGGAGAAAGAGAGGAAGAGGGUCAAGAGGAGGAGGAAGAGCAGUGAUAGUUCAGUACAAAUGGAGGAGGAGGAGGAGGAGAGAAGACUUACAAGAGAUAAGAGGAAGAGGAAAUAAGAAUGGACUGCAAUAAGUGGCAGAGAGGAGGAGGAGGAGGACGAUAAACGCAUCACCUCGAGGAAGAAGAAGGAGGAGGAGGAGGAGGAAGAGGAAGAGGAACAAGAAGAGGGUAGAAGAUUCAGCAGACACUCGGAUAAUGGUGAAAGCCCCUCUUAUACUCCACCAAGAAGACUGCAAGAACAGGAGAAGGAAGAGGAGGAAGAGGAAGAAGAGGAGGAGGAAGAGGAGCCACUUUCCCCAGUGGCUCGGUUGGGAUCGAUAGCAAGGAGUCACCAAGGGAGUCAUCGCCAAAACGGGGCAGAACCGGGGCAUUCCUGGUCACCUCAGGGUCAGGGAGGAGCUACCCGGCCAGCGACACGUCUGGGUACUAUGACCUGACCCCGGACUCCUCCAGCGGGGCAUCCGGGGCAAAGACAUUCAAUUUAGAGGAUAUUCCGUACCCUACCAGAGAGAGUGAGAGGCACAGCCCCUCCAACAUGUCCCUCUCCUCCUCCUCCUCUGCCCCACCCACCCCGCCCCGCCCCCCCACCCCAGACACCCUGGAUGCCAUCCCCAUUCCCCCACCCACCCUGGACCUCACCAACAUCCCCAAGCCGCCCGUCACCUUCACCAUCACCCCGCCAUCCCCCAUCCCCAGGCCCAAGAAGGACCCCCUGCCAAGACCCAAGCCCCCGGUCCCCCUUCCUCCCAUGGCAGCUGCCCCACUGCCCCCCUUAUCCGUCCCCUUGCCCUGCCCCACGCCUGCCCACAGGGAGGAGUCCCUACCAGCCUCGCCGCCCCGGGAGGUGCCCCCCAUCGGAGGGGCGCCGGUGUCCCCCGGGGGACAUGACAGCGACGACGACGAGCCCCCCGUCCUGCAUCCCCCGGCCCCCGAGCCCCGCCCCACCCACCACCAGCCACACCACCAUAUAUACUCCCGCAGCCCAGCCCGCCCCUACCACCACAGCCCGCACACCCUAGAGCGCCCCCCACAUGCUGGCCUCUUCCCUGCUUCACGGCCAGGCCAGAUGGCUACUCAGUGCGUGGCGUGGCGGCCUCAGGGCGUGGCAGCCGCCACACCCCCGAGGGCUCCCCGCCCCCAGACCACUGCCACGGCCCACACAUCCCAGAGCGCCCCCCACAUGCUGGCGGCUUCCCUGCUUCACCGCCAGGCCAGAUGGCUACUCAGGGUGUGGCGGCUGCCACACCCCCGAGGGCUCCCCGCCCCCAGACCACUGCCAGUACCACAGCCCCGUGGUGCAGUACCACAGCAGCAUCAGUCCUCCCUUCUCCCGCAGCCCCCCGUGGAGCCCCGAUGGGGGGCGCCGCGCCAGCCCCACAGGGUGGCGCAGUCCAUGCUACCAGCACCACCACCACCACCACUACACUGCCCCACCCCGCGACCGCUGGAGCCCCCAGUGCUCCCCACGCCGUGUUACCGUGUUACCCGCUCUCUGUUACCCUCUCCCCGGGGCGCCGCUCAUCACCCCCAGACCGCCGUGCCUCCCCGGAGCGGGGCCGCUCACCACCCAGCCGCUCCCCACGCUACUCCCCGCGCCAUUCCCAUUCCCGGGGGGCUGAGGUCCCCCUGCCGCUCCCCCUCCCCACUGGGUGAGGUGUACCCCUACGAGCGGCGGGGCUGGGGCUGCGCAGCCAGGGAGUGGGAGGCUCUCACCACCACCAUCACAGCCCCAAGGCAGAGCAGAGAAAUAGGGAGGGCAAGGGCUAUGGGUACUCUCCCCCUGCGGCAGUAUUUGAUGACGACCUCCGGAUCAUGAGCGAGGCAGAGAUGUUCUCCAUGGGGUUCCACAAGGGGGGAGAACAGCGAGUCUCCCCCCACCCCCGCUCCCCCUCCCCCAACACCCUCGAUGCCAAGUCUUUGGGUACUCUCCCAGCCGUGUCACAGCUGAUGAUGAUGAUGCCACCCCCACCCCCAGCCUGAGCCACCCUCCACCCACCCCAGCCCUCACCAAGCCUCCUCCAGUAACCACCACCACCACCACCACCAGCGACGUAACACCCCACCCC